GUCUAUGGCCAUACCACCCUGAACAUGCCUGCUCUCAUCUGAUCUUGGAAGCUAAGGAGGGAUGGGCCUGGUUAAUACUUGGACAGAAGAAAUUAAAACAUAAGCAAGUCAAAAAUA
ensembl:rRNA 5S_rRNA 5S ribosomal RNA